GACGAACCUUGCUAACGUUAUUCGGAAUUACUGGGCGUAAAGCGUGCGCAGGCGGUUUUGUAAGUCUGUCGUGAAAUCCCCGGGCUCAACCUGGGAAUUGCGAUGGAGACUGCAAGGCUAGAAUCUGGCAGAGGGGGGUAGAAUUCCACGUGUAGCAGUGAAAUGCGUAGAGAUGUGGAGGAACACCGAUGGCGAAGGCAGCCCCCUGGGUCAAGAUUGACGCUCAUGCACGAAAGCGUGGGGAGCAAACAGG
rnacentral:rRNA from 1 species